rnacentral:misc_RNA from 1 species
GGAAGUAAGAGUCGUAACAAGGUUUCCGUAGGUGAACCUGCGGAAGGAUCAUUAAAAAUGAAGCCGGGAAACCGGUCCUUCUAACCCUUGAUUAUCUUAAUUUGUUGCUUUGGUGGGCCGCGCAAGCACCGGCUUCGGCUGGAUCGUGCCCGCCAGAGGACACAACUCUGUAUCAAAUGUCGUCUGAGUACUAUAAAAUAGUUAAAACUUUCAACAACGGAUCUCUUGGUUCUG